GACGAACGCUGGCGGCGUGCUUAACACAUGCAAGUCGAACGGAAAGGCCCUGUCUUUGUGGGGUGCUCGAGUGGCGAACGGGUGAGUAACACGUGAGUAACCUGCCCUUGACUUUGGGAUAACUUCAGGAAACUGGGGCUAAUACCCGAUAGGAGCUCAUGCUGCAUGGUGGGGGUUGGAAAGCUUCGGCGGUUGGGGAUGGACUCGCGGCUUAUCAGCUUGUUGGUGGGGUAGUGGCUUACCAAGGCUUUGACGGGUAGCCGGCCUGAGAGGGUGACCGGCCACAUUGGGACUGAGAUACGGCCCAGACUCCAACGGGAGGCAGCAGUGGGGAAUAUUGCACAAUGGGCGGAAGCCUGAUGCAGCAACGCCGCGUGCGGGAUGACGGCCUUCGGGUUGUAAACCGCUUUCGCCUGUGACGAAGCGUGAGUGACGGUAAUGGGUAAAGAAGCACCGGCUAACUACGUG
rnacentral:rRNA from 1 species